rnacentral:rRNA from 1 species
UACCAGCCCCCUGAGUGAUAGGGACGAUUAUUUAGCCUAAAGCGUCCGUAGCCGGUUUAGCAAGUCUUUCGUUAAAUCCGACGACUCAAUCGCCGGACCGCGGGAGAUACUGCUAGGCUAGAGGGCGGGAGAGGUUGACGGUAGUCCCGGAGUAGGGGUGAAAUCCUAUAAUCCCGGGAGGACCACCAGUGGCGAAGGCGGUCGACUAGAACGCGCCUGACGGUGAUGGACGAAAGCUGGGGGAG